GGGCCGUUGGAGCAACUGGCAGCUCACCCGGCUCUCGACCGGGAGGUUCACGGGUUCGAACCCCGUACGGCCCA
rnacentral:tRNA from 1 species